GUGUCCAUGACUACAAAAUAAGACUGUAAAGCAACGCAGUCGUCCAGCAAACGUCCCAUUUUCGCCCAUCUAUGUUGGAGCUAUUGGAGCUACAGUAUUUCCAACAUCAACACCAAGUGAUGGGUUUCGUUGCGCGGACCGGAUUGCACCUGCUGCCACGCAUUAUAUGCGCUUUAUAUAAAUGCACGCGAAGAUUGCACGAGCACGCAUCUCAGUCUAUGCGUGCGCGUCCUAACUGUGCGCGUGAAGUUAUUUGCGAUAAAUAUCACAGUUACCGCAAACUCUUCGCACGCAUAUGAGAACUGAUGAUAAGUGCGCCUGAGGAUCCUUAUGAACAACAACACCGAAGAGGGUAUUUAUACGACUGGCUCAUGUCUGUGAAUGGGAAAAACCAAGUGGAGUUCAUGUUGUUCUGGGCUUCUCAGGUUGGCAGGGAGAGUGCAGGGAUGGCCGAUAUUUGUGCCCUGAGUUCCCAGUUCCCAAAGUGCUGAAUGGGAGAGGAAUGCACCCGGACAAGCAAAGUUGGCAUGGCCCCUGCCUGAGCUCUCACUGCCUAAUGUGAACUCAUAUCUCACUCAGGAUGCCACUGACAAAGAGCAACUCUCCACAGGCACUGUGUUGCACCCUACUCAAAACCCCAUCUGUCAAGAUGAGGUUUUAUUGUGUUUGUGUGCGAGAGAGUUGGAGAGCUACUGUGGCUUGACUUUCAAAGUGACCCGCAUAAAGAGAAUACAUUUUCGCAGAGUAAUAACACAAGCUCGACUUGACAACAAAAAUGCUUUGAUUCUGCCAAACCGGAGAGGACAACAUGUUCCUUAUGCGAAGGGUCGUGGCUGAUGCUUGCAGGGGAAGUGGUUCGGUCAAUGUAUCGGAGUAAACUUUGACAGGAAAUGUAAAAUGCUCGAGGCAAGGAGGCCAAGUUGACCGAGCUGCCAAAAUGACAAUGUUAAGGAUAGUUGCAUCAAAAAACUCCCAGCACCCCUUUUUUCCCUGCUUUUUUGUGCUUCUGUUAAUGACAGAACAAUGUGAGCAAGAAAUUCCAAGAUGACUUCCUUUAACCAAUAAGCCAACUUUUUUGUUGAGAAACGUAUAAUAAUACACAUUAAUAAGUAAUUGUUGCACUGUAUUCUGUUGGACAGAACCUACACGAUUCCCAAAUUGUUCCAAAUGUUUUGGUCGAUUACGGUAAAUUCUGAAAAUAGGGUAAUUGUUCAGCUGCAGACGGUCUCUUUAUAGACUUUUUUUGUUGGUGAGUAAAGAUUAUUGUGUAGCAACUUCCUUGGCGGUACAGCAUUAACUCAUUUCCAACUAAUAAAAGGACCUAGGCGGGGUGUUUGUUAAGUCAGAAUCCAAGGACUUAAGUGAAAAUCAGGUCAAUUCCAUCGAGUCAUUUCAGCCAGUGGAAAGCUACCCUCAUCCUAUAUUUAAAACCAUCCUCUCUCACUCCCUCCCUCUAUCUUUCUUUCUUUCUUUCUUUCUUUCUUUCAGAAUGCUUUCAGUCAGGCUAAACAGGCGCAUAAACUGCUGACUCAUACCACAAACAAACAAUGAAAGAUGCGGGCAGUUGCAUUAUCGAAUGCUACUUGAGCCAGCUAGGAAAAUACAUUUACUAAUGAGCAGCUCAGCCUUAUGUUUUUAUUCAUGGCAUAUUGAGUUUAUAUUAAAACAUAAAAAAUGUGAUUGGAUGGAGUCUCAUCAGCCUUCAGUUUGACGGUUUAUAAUCUGUAUACAUGAUUUCUGUCUACUGCCAACAAUUAAAUAAAUUUAAUGAAUGUGUACAGU